GACGUAGGUCGCGAGCGUUGUCCGGAAUUAUUGGGCGUAAAGAGCUCGUAUGCGGCUUGUUGCGUCGACUGUGAAAACCCGCGGCUCAACCGUGUGGCUUGCAGUCGAUACGGGCAGGCUAGAGUUCGGUAGGGGAGACUGGAAUUCCUGGUGUAGCGGUGAAAUGCGCAGAUAUCAGGAGGAACACCGGUGGCGAAGGCGGGUCUCUGGGCCGAUACUGACGCUGAGGAGCGAAAGCGUGGGGAGCGAACAGG
rnacentral:rRNA from 1 species